CAGGCCUGGUAGUCCCAGCCACUCAGGAGGCUGAGGCAAAAGGAUCCCUCUGGGAGUUUGAGUCCAGUCUGGGCAACACAGCAAGAGCCCAUAUCUAAUACAUACAUGCAUACACACAUACAUAAAUCAGUCAAUCAUCAUCUAGUGCCACUUUGUUCAGUACAGUAGCCACUAGCUACACGUGGCUAUAGCAGAUACAGAACAUUUCCAUCAUCACUAAACAUUCUAUUGGAAAACACUGCUCUAGUACAACCGACAAAAUAGUUCAUAAAGAGAUUUCUAUUACUAUGACCAUUUUACUGAUAAGGAAAUUGAGGCUUAGGCAGGAUAAGUGACUUGAACAAGGUCACAUAGCUAGAAAGCGGUGGAACUGGGAAUGAACUCAGGUAAUUCACCUUCAGAGCUUGCAUGCCUUUGCCAAGUCAAGCACUUUUAAAGACCUACUUUCUAAAGUGAUCAAGAAGUUUAAAAGCCUGGACAGGGAAAAGUAAAGGGAAAAAAAGUACACAAUUCUUAGACUUUAAAACAACAGCAACAAAAACUACUGUCAGUCUAGAACCUCUUAAAGCUUCCUGGUUUCCAAAGAUUUAGAAAGAAAAACCAAGGGGGCGUCAAAUUUAAAACAGUAAACAUAGAGCCUGAAAAUAAUAGAGAUAUAUAUUUAACCUUCACACAAACCCUAUGAUGUAAAUGCUUUCAGGAAACAAAGCUUGGAGUGGUUAAGUAA
rnacentral:lncRNA from 10 species